UACGUAGGGUGCGAGCGUUGUCCGGAAUUAUUGGGCGUAAAGAGCUCGUAGGCGGUUUGUCGCGUCUGCCGUGAAAGUCCGGGGCUCAACUCCGGAUCUGCGGUGGGUACGGGCAGACUAGAGUGCGGUAGGGGUGACUGGAAUUCCUGGUGUAGCGGUGGAAUGCGCAGAUAUCAGGAGGAACACCGAUGGCGAAGGCAGGUCACUGGGCCGCAACUGACGCUGGAGGAGCGGAAAGCAUGGGGAGCAAACGGG
rnacentral:rRNA from 1 species